ACGCGAGGAUCCACUCAAGACUGAGGCCCGCCCAGGAUUCUCCCACGGGCUCAGGCUCGCACGCUCCCACUUAGGAUUGGCGGAUGAAGUUCAAAGGCGUGUGUUGCCUGUGCAACUCCAGUUGAUCAUGCAUCCCCGUUUGUCCAGGAUGGUGCCAUUUUCAUCUGUUGUCCUGGAGUGAUUAUUAAUAACACGCCCUUUCACUGUACAAACUGUUCCAUUUGGAUGUCAAAUCAUAUGGUCACCUAUCUUCAUAUGUAAUUGUAUUAAUUACCCAUGUAUCCUUAUAGAAUUUCUUUCUGCAAAUAAAUAUGUGUUUAUCAUUA